rnacentral:antisense_RNA from 16 species
UUUCAUGGCGGCUGUACGCGGGAGAUCCUCGGAUCUGCCGAUUAUUGUGGGAUGAGUCGGCUCGCCAACCCGCGUAUAGCUGCCACCUAU